rnacentral:lncRNA from 1 species
AGGACAGUAGCUGUUGUCGUGUCAUGACCUCACUGGCCUACUUCUAGAGACUUUUCUUACAAUCACAGCAUAUGAAGGAAAUUUCCUUUGUUCUCGUAUCAUUACCUAGUGCUCUCUGCUUUCCUGCAUUUCAUUUCCUAGAUGCUAAAUUACAAGUUUUUGUCUAGCUGCUAAGGUUGUCAACAUUUUACUUAAGUGUACUUAUGCACACAACCAUAAUCGUUUAAAUGCAAUCAGCAAAGUAUAUUUUGCGAUUCAAACAGAUACCAAAUAAUCAGCCCAUAGCAUAGAUAACCCGAAAUUGCAACUUCAAUAAACUAUCAUGGCUUUCUAGGAGCGAGUUUAGAUCACUUGGAACUAAAUAGAUUUUCAGAUGCUUCUUGGGGUUCUUUAUGACCCGGUUCUCUUUCCAUUGUUUUCUCUUCCAUGAGCUUCACUUACACAUAAUUGUUAUGUUCUAAAUAGGGACUAACAGAAAUGCUAAAGCUUAAACUUUCGCCUCAUGUAUCGCCUUUCUCAUCAUGAACAAAGAUACUCAAUUUACCCAUCAUGUCCCCAAACAUCAACUCACUUUUUCAUAUCUAGCACCUUCUCUCUUUUUGACUCACGAAUCAAAUUACAUAGUUCAAGUGCAUGAAUAUGCUCUAUAUCAUUACCAACCUCUCUACCGAAGAAGUCACAAACUACCUAAACCAACACAAUCAAAGACACGCUUCCGGUUAAAGCACUCGAGAUAUAACCUCACUAAGCAAACAUAUAAGCAUAUAACUAUCCUA